rnacentral:lncRNA from 1 species
GUAUGUGAUUUUUUGAAAUUGUUUUACCUUACAACUUUUAGUUUUGGGGGUGUUAAUUAAUUUAAGGGUUAAAUAUAAAAUGGGUACUCGAACUUGUCCACUUCUCCUAGAUUGAUACUUAUGAUUUUUUUUGUUCCAAAUUGGUACUCGAAUUUUUUUUUCCAUCAACUAUAUUGGUAAAAGAGCCUAACGUCGUUAGGUUUUUGCUGACAUGUCAACACUAGCCAAUCAAAUGUCGCCUCAUGGCAUCCUCUUGUACAUCUUUUUCUUUUUCAUUUCCCUCAUUUCCCUCAUUUUCUCCCUUUUUUUUUCUCCUCUCUUCUUUACUUUUUCUUUUUCCUACCCUUGUCUUCUUCAUCUUUUUCUUCACUCUUUCAUCUUCCAGUUUAAGGGCCAACUACAACAAAGAAUCGACGCUAGAGUUUUAGGUUUUUUUCUUGACUUUUUAAGAAAAAAUAUUAAUUUUCGGUAUUUCAAGUUCUGGG